AGAGCGAACGCUGGCGGCGUGCUUAACACAUGCAAGUCGAACGCGCAGCGUUCUGUAGCAAUACAGGGUGUGGGCGCGUGGCGAACGGGUGCGUAACACGUGGAUAACCUUCCUUGAGGUGGGGAAUAACCCAGUGAAAAUUGGGCUAAUACCGCAUAACAUCGCGAUGGCACAUGCUGAUGCGAUCAAAGGCGCAAGUCGCCACAAGAGGGAUCCGCGGCCGAUUAGCUUGUUGGCGAGGUAAUGGCUCACCAAGGCAAUGAUCGGUAGCCGGACUGAGAGGUUGGCCGGCCACACUGGAACUGAGACACGGUCCAGACUCCUACGGGAGGCAGCAGUGGGGAAUCUUGCGCAAUGGGGGAAACCCUGACGCAGCAACGCCGCGUGGAGGAUUAAGCCCCUUGGGGUGUAAACUCCUUUCGAUCGGGACGAUUAUGACGGUACCGGAAGAAGAAGCACCGGCUAACUCUGUGCCAGCAGCCG
rnacentral:rRNA from 1 species